CUUGUAACCACAGUCUAACCCAGCGGGCACCAGGCGGUGAGACCUCCUGCCGCUGCCAGCCCAGGAUAGCCCCCUUGCCUCUUGCCCAAGGCUCAGGCUACCCCUUGAGGCGUCUGGAGGACACUAGGCUUGACCUGGGGAGUGGCAUGAUGGGGGGCAGGGUCCGAGGCAACGGAGAAGGCAGAAGUGACUUAGAUUGUGAGUGCCACGGGGCUGAGGCCUGCGCCGACCUGGUCUGCUGGUGCUACCAGGCUUGAACAGUCUUCAAAUCCACUGCUAUUAGGCAAAUUACCUGGCUCCCGCUGAACUCCAGCACCUAGAACUAUGUCACACUCGUAGUAGGCCGCUGCAUUGGUUGAACAAAUGAUUUUGAAAGAAUGAAUGUCUUCCUCUGUGCCUGCAUUUCCUCAGAAGGCUGUAACAAAGAUUAAAUAGGAAAAUUCGUGGAAAGUUCAAUUACUA
rnacentral:lncRNA from 1 species